rnacentral:rRNA from 1 species
AGCGGCUCUCUGGUCUGUAACUGACGCUGAGGUUCGAAAGCGUGGGUAGCAAACAGGAUUAGAUACCCUGGUAGUUCCCCCCGUAAACGAUGAAUGCUAAGUGUUGGAGGGUUUUCGCCCUUCAGUGCUGCAGCUAACGCAAUAAGCAUUCCGCCUGGGGAGUACGACCGCAAGGUUGAAACUCAAAGGAAUUGACGGGGGCCCGCACAAGCGGUGGAGCAUGUGGUUUAAUUCGAAGCAACGCGAAGAACCUUACCAGGUCUUGACAUCUUCUGAAAAUCCUAGAGAUAGGACUUUUCCUUCGGGGACAGAAUGACAGGUGGUGCAUGGUUGUCGUCAGCUCGUGUCGUGAGAUGUUGGGUUAAGUCCCGCAACGAGCGCAACCCUUAUUGUUAGUUGCCAGCAUUAAGUUGGGCACUCUAGCAAGACUGCCGGUGACAAACCGGAGGAAGG